rnacentral:ncRNA from 1 species
UAAUUUACGUUGAUGAGGAUUAGUAAGAGAACUACUUAUUGCAGAGAGUGUACAGAUGGUGAAAGGUAUACAUAGUGAGUACUCUGAACUCGCCUUAGAGUUUCUUAUUGAACUUUUGUAGAUAAGAACGGGUAUUUCCGUUAAAGAAUGGAGUGUCAGCACCAGAAUUGGGUGUUGGAAAAUAGGUGGUACCGCGAGUCCUCUCGUCCUAUAG